rnacentral:tRNA from 1 species
GCGCGAGUGGCGGAAUUGGUAGACGCACUAGCUUGAGGUGCUAGCGCUGGCAACGGCGUGCUGGUUCGAGUCCAGUCUUGCGCACCA